rnacentral:piRNA from 1 species
GCCAUUCAACAGGGAACAAGCCUCGCCCC